GACUCCGCAUGCUACAGGGCAUGGCCCAAAGAAGUUUAAAUCUCAGAGCAGCCAUAUCCCUUCCCAGGCCGGCUAUGCUGCAGAUGGCAGAAUUCCGUUCUUUUUACGGCUGAGCAAUAUUCCAUCGAACUCUGCUGCAAAAUUACACGGCAGAAAGAAGAACCGAGUCAGCAAAAGAGGGAGGAAACCAAUGGGAGGAAUCGCGGGGACCCGUCUUUGAAACUCGCGACACCGCUGAGACUGAAUUCCAUUAGCCCGGUUUCUGCCAUUUCCCUGAGCUGGCGGCGUCUUUAGUAAUCUGGCCCUUUCCUGGAACGUGGCACCUGACACUCCUUCCUCACCUUCCUCCCCGAGGACACGGUGGGCUCAGGGCACCCUCUGUGUGACAGGUGCCAGGGCGAGGUCAUCAGGAUGGCACAGGCCCGCCCGCAGGGUGGUGGGCGCGGCUGAGGGCGGUGCUCCUGGCUGCCCCCAACCCUGCUCCCUGGAGGUGCGGGAGGGGAGGUGGAGGCCACACGGACAGACCAGCGUUCUCUCAAGGCUUCCAUUCCUGCCGUCGCCCUCCGCCCUG
ensembl:lncRNA